rnacentral:lncRNA from 1 species
GAUUGAAUUAUGUGAAUUCAUUUUCUAUUUGGUCAUUCAUCAGUCUUCGAUUCUUAUAUAUUGAAACCCUCCUAUAUAUUGUUAUAACUUGAAUUAUUUCUUUCAUUUAUGAUCCUAUACUUAAUUAUAAAUUUUUUUUUUCUUCUCCAGCUAUGAUGAGAACUAGAGGUGGAAGUAGUUUUUCCGGUAGGGGAUCAACUCUUCCUCGUAAUAGUGACAAGACUGUUAACAAGGAGAGAAUGAGAGAUGAGUCUAUUGUAUCUUAUAACAGUGAAAAAGUGGAGUUCUCGUCGUGGUUCCUAUUAAAUUAAAGAAAAUGAAAAACUACUUGAGUUAUCUUCAUCAAUACGCAAAGAAUAUGGUUGAAACACUUGCACUUGAUUCUCCUAUAAACCCAUGUGAUUUGUUUGCUUCGUCAAAUGCAUCAGCUGUAUUCUAACGAAUAACUCAACCACACAUGUUGAGAAUGACAACGCAAAUGAUGAUGAUUCCAUGCAACAUUUGGGAUGAUCUAGAUCUUUCCUUUAAUUAUCAAUUUAUUAGUUUAGGAGUUUUUUGAUAGAUGUUGGGUUAAUUAAUUGUUUGAUGAACCUAUGACAUGUAGCUACCUAUUUAAGUAGUUGGUUAUGACUUGAUUUUUAAUUAAAUGAAUCAAAUUUCUUCAUUUUAA